rnacentral:rRNA from 1 species
UACGUAGGGUGCAAGCGUUUAAUCGGAAUUACUGGGCGUAAAGCGUGCGCAGGCGGUUUUGUAAGUCUGUCGUGAAAUCCCCGGGCUCAACCUGGGAAUUGCGAUGGAGACUGCAAGGCUAGAAUCUGGCAGAGGGGGGUAGAAUUCCACGUGUGAGCAGUGAAAUGCGUAGAGAUGUGGAGGAACACCGAUGGCGAAGGCAGCCCCCUGGGUCAAGAUUGACGCUCAUGCACGAAAGCGUGGGGAGCAAACGAAGG